rnacentral:rRNA from 1 species
GAAAAAGAGGAGUGGCGAACGGGUGAGUAACACGUGGGUAACCUGCCCAUCAGAAGGGGAUAACACUUGGAAACAGGUGCUAAUACCGUAUAACAAUCGAAACCGCAUGGUUUUGAUUUGAAAGGCGCUUUCGGGUGUCGCUGAUGGAUGGACCCGCGGUGCAUUAGCUAGUUGGUGAGGUAACGGCUCACCAAGGCCACGAUGCAUAGCCGACCUGAGAGGGUGAUCGGCCACAUUGGGACUGAGACACGGCCCAAACUCCUACGGGAGGCAGCAGUAGGGAAUCUUCGGCAAUGGACGAAAGUCUGACCGAGCAACGCCGCGUGAGUGAAGAAGGUUUUCGGAUCGUAAAACUCUGUUGUUAGAGAAGAACAGGGAUGAGAGUAACUGUUCAUCCCUUGACGGUAUCUAACCAGAAAGCCACGGCUAACUACGUGCCAGCAGCCGCGGUAAUACGUAGGUGGCAAGCGUUGUCCGGAUUUAUUGGGCGUAAAGCGAGCGCAGGCGGUUUCUUAAGUCUGAUGUGAAAGCCCCCGGCUCAACCGGGGAGGGUCAUUGGAAACUGGGAGACUUGAGUGCAGAAGAGGAGAGUGGAAUUCCAUGUGUAGCGGUGAAAUGCGUAGAUAUAUGGAGGAA